AUUGAACGCUGGCGGCAGGCCUAACACAUGCAAGUCGAACGGUAACAGGAAGAAGCUUGCUUCUUUGCUGACGAGUGGCGGACGGGUGAGUAAUGUCUGGGAAACUGCCUGAUGGGGGGGGAUAACUACUGGAAACGGUAGCUAAUACCGCAUACCGUCGCAAGACCAAAGAGGGGGACCUUCGGGCCUCUUGCCAUCGGAUGUGCCCAGAUGGGAUUAGCUAGUAGGUGGGGUAACGGCUCACCUAGGCGACGAUCCCUCGCUGGUCUGAGAGGAUGACCAGCCACACUGGAAGUGAGACACGGUCCAGACGCCUACGGGACGCAGCAGUGGGGAAUAUUGCACAAUAGUCGCAAGCCUGAUGCAGCCAUGCCGCGUGUAUGAAGAAGACCUUCGGGUUGUAAAGUACUUUCAGCGGGGAGGAAGGGAGUAAAGUUAAGACCUAGGCUCAUUGACGUUACCCGCAGAAGAAGCACCGGCUAACUCCGUG
rnacentral:rRNA from 1 species